rnacentral:misc_RNA from 2 species
AACGCACAUUGCGCCCAUUAGUAUUCUAGUGGGCAUGCCUGUUCGAGCGUCAUUUCAACCCCUAAGCAUAGCUUAGUGUUGGGAAUCUACUGAGCGGAGCUACCCUGUAGCUACCCUGUAGUUCCUAAAAACCAACGGCGGAUUUAUAGUGUCCUCUGAGCGUAGUAAAUUUUUAUCUCGCUUUUGUUAGGUGCUGUAACUCUAGCCGCUAAACCCCCUAUUUUUCUAUGGUUGACCUCGGAUCAGGUAGGAAUACCCGCUGAACUUAA